rnacentral:lncRNA from 1 species
GGGUGAAGCCAGGUCCUGGAGUUAGUGCCAGACUCCUGGCAGGAAGAGCUGGGUCCUAGAGUCUCACUGCAGGUACAGGAAUCCCAGAGCUGGUGUCAGGUUGCUGGAGGUGGAGGCUGGGGGACAUUGGGGCGGGGGUUCUAUUCCUGACACAGCUGGCUAUAUGGUCCAGGGUGUCCUGAAGCUUGUGCUGGCCUGCUAGUAAGAAGCGCCAGGGCCCAGCUGGUGCCACUGUAGGGUCUGACCUGCUGGAGGCUGUAGGAGCAGGCUUUUCUCAAGACUGGCGUUUGCCCACUGGUGGAAAGAGCUGGGUCUUAGCCCACUAGUAGUCUGGGCUGUAUGGAGCAGCAUCUGCAAAUGUUGGUGGGCUCAAGAAGACUGGAGGCAGCCUGUCUGCUGAUGAGGGGACUGUGCCUCGACACAGCUAGUUGUUUGGCCUGAAGAGUCCAAGUACCCGGUCCCUACAGGCUGUUGGGUGUGGCCAGGUCCUGGCGCUAAUGAGAGAAGGAGGGUCCACCUGGCUCCACUACCACCACUUCCGGUUUCUGCACGUGUAAAAGGAGCUCCCAAAUAUGGCUGCAGCUGGUGCCUCUGUCUCCUGGGAGGUCCGCCUCUUCGGGAGAUGCUUCAAGACCAGCAGUCUCGGAGGAUUGACUUGGCUCAGAGAUAAAGCAGUGCUUGGAAGACUUCUCUAAUGGGACACAGUGCUGAGCGUAAAUGAAGAGGGCAAUGACAGAGGCUACCCUGAGAUGCAAGGCUCUGUUUUGUUACAGUUGCCUUCCUUUUGUCAUCUGCAUCUGUUAGAGUGGCGAACCUCAGUGACAGACAAGAAGUAAAUGUGAGAUGCAUCAGAUCUGUUUUUGAGCAACUGAUCUUGCAUAACCAGACUGUAGCAAGCUGUCAGCUCUGUACGUCCCUCAUGGCUAGACCUUUGCACUUCUCUAUGCUGCAAUCCUCUGACCUUUUAUUCUCUAUAUAAAAGAAUAAAAUGCUGGCUUUCUAUAUGGCUCGGUGUUUUCUGUGAAACCCCACAGUUUGUAAGAGAAGGACUCGGUGUUUCAAAUACACUUCUUUUCCUAACUUGUUGAAAUAGGGUUGGU